rnacentral:rRNA from 1 species
CCCUUAGAUGUUCUGGGCGGCCCGCGCACUACAUUGGCACUAGCAAAGAGAUCCUAGAUUGAAUUCUUUGGGGUAUUCUUCUAAAUGGUGUCGUGACUGGGAUAAAUCCUUGUAAUUAUUGGUUUUGAACGAGGAAUUCCUUGUAAUCGCGGUUUAUCAGCUCGCGUUGAAUGCGUCCCUGCCCUGUGUACACACCGCCCGUCGCUCCUACCGAUGGAUCGUCCGGUGAAGCUCACGGAGUGACUGUUCACGCAACGGUUUACGAAGUGAAAUGGACCUCACGAUUUAGAGGAAGGAGAAGUCGUAACA